GACGAACGCUGGCGGCGUGCUUAACACAUGCAAGUCGAACGCUGAAGCUUGGUGCUUGCACUGGGUGGAUGAGUGGCGAACGGGUGAGUAAUACGUGAGUAACCUGCCCUUGACUCUGGGAUAAGCCUGGGAAACUGGGUCUAAUACUGGAUAUGACAUGCCACUGCAUGGUGGUGUGUGGAAAGGGUUUUACUGGUUUUGGAUGGGCUCACGGCCUAUCAGCUUGUUGGUGGGGUAAUGGCCUACCAAGGCGACGACGGGUAGCCGGCCUGAGAGGGUGACCGGCCACACUGGGACUGAGACACGGCGCAGACUCCUACGGGAGGCAGCAGUGGGGAAUAUUGCACAAUGGGCGGAAGCCUGAUGCAGCGACGCCGCGUGAGGGAUGACGGCCUUCGGGUUGUAAACCUCUUUCAGCACGGAAGAAGCGAGAGUGACGGUACGUGCAGAAGAAGCGCCGGCUAACUACGUG
rnacentral:rRNA from 1 species